rnacentral:RNase_P_RNA from 1 species
GGGAGAGAGGAAAGUCCGGGCUCCAAAGGGCAGGGCGCUGGAGAAAUUCCAGUGGGCGUGAGCCCAAGGAAAGUGCCACAGAAACAUACCGCCCGCUUUUGGCGGGUAAGGGUGAAAAGGUGGGGUAAGAGCCCACCAGCUGUCGGGUGACCGACAGGCUAGGCAAACCCCGCCCGGAGCAAGACCGAAUAGGAGGGGAUGAGGCUGCCCGUUGACCCUCGGGUACGGUCGCUUGAGAGCCGGCGCAAGCCGGUUCCUAGAUAAAUGACCGCUUCACACAGAACCCGGCUUAAGGAAUGCUUCCCGCA